GGCUAUGGGCUUAGUGGUUAGCACGUUCGCCUUGCAUGUCCAGGGUUUGGGGUUUGAUUCCCGCCAUGGCCC